UACGUAGGGACCGAGCGUUGUCCGGAAUCAUUGGGCGUAAAGAGCGUGUAGGCGGCCACUUAAGUCCUGCGUGAAAUCUUGCGGCUCAACCGCAAGCGGUCGUGGGAAACUGGGUGGCUAGAGUGCGGGAGAGGAGAGUGGAAUUCCUGGUGUAGCGGUGGAAUGCGCAGAUAUCAGGAAGAACACCCGUGGCGAAGGCGGCCCUUUGGAACGCAACUGACGCUGAGACGCGAAAGCGUGGGGAGCAAACAGG
rnacentral:rRNA from 1 species